UACGUAGGGGUCGAGCGUUGUCCGGAGUUACUGGGCGUAAAGAGCGCGCAGGCGGUCGUUCAAGUCGAGUGUGAAAGCCCCGGCUCAACUGGGGAGGGUCACGCGAUACUGAUCGACUGGAAGGCAGGAGAGGGUAGUGGAAUUCCCGGUGUAGUGGUGAAAUGCGUAGAUAUCGGGAGGAACACCAGUGGCGAAGGCGACUGACCUGCCUGUUCUGACGCUGAGGCGCGAAAGCUAGGGAGCA
rnacentral:rRNA from 1 species